CGUCUCGAAAAGUAGCUAAACUCGGCUAAAAUCGCCUCUUUCGGCAUAAAAAGGUACAUAACAAGGUGAAAUAAUCCAAGUUGUCUUUACUUUGGAUAUAUUAAUGGAUGUAUUAAUUGUGAUUCUUUAAGGAUUUCGCCGUCAUUCCAUUGUCUUUAAUGAUUUCGCCGUCAUUCAAGUGGCUGAAAUCGCCUCUUUCGGCAUAAAAAAAGUACAUACCAAGGUGAAAUAAUCCAAGUUUUCUUUACUUUGGAGAUAUUAAUGGAUGGAUUAAUUGUGAUUCGCACUCCCGGCUGGGGGUCGCAUUUUACGGCAGGGGUGCAUAAUUCGGCACAACACUGGACAUUCGAGGCAUUUAAGAAACUCCACCUGGACAGCUCCGCAAAGAGGACAUAUCCCGUGAAAAGAGGAGGUGUGGUCAGUCUAUCUAUCAGUCGUUGCUAGCAUGCCGUGUGUUGUUGUUUUGAUUGAUUGAAACUUUUAUUAGUAGAUUGCACAGUACAGUACAUAUUCCGAAUUGACCACUAAAUGGUAACACCCGAAUACGUUUUUCAACUUGUUUAAGUCGGGGUCCAUGUAAAUUAAUUCAUGAUGCCUCGGUGUGCAUGGUUUUCACAACGUGCGGUGCGCUACUUAUAUGUCCGUGUCGUUCGGUUUACCUGCGAACCGGACCGAAACCCCGGUACCGAAAGGGUUCAACACAAAUACACGUACUGUUCCACCCCUACAAGACAUCCAUCCAUUUUCUACCCCUUGUCCCUUUCGGGGUCGCGCUGGGUGCUGGAGCCUAUCUCAGUUGCAUCCGUGCGGAAGGCGGGGUACACCCUGGACAAGUUGCCACCUCAUAGCUGGGCCAACACAGAUGGACAAUUUAGCUUUAAUCGCUGUGAGACCGCAUCAUUAGAUUGAACGCUGCUGGCGAGCAUUGCCACUUGUCAAGAGGAGGAGUUUCACAUCCGUGUUUACAUUUCAGGGCAUUCCCUUUGGCUCAACCACGCCCCUACGUGUUUACAAAGGGUUCGCUGACACACAACGACGCAACACAACAAACUUUUCAAAAGAAUAUGGCGGCUCCGGUGCCAACUUGUUGACUCCUGAGUGAUGCAAUGCUUUGAUUGCCGACUGCAUUUCGCUAUUGGCCAAGCAGUUUGCCACGUCCUGUGCCAAACAGACCAGCUUGUCCCUAAGAUAGCGUCCAAUGCUAAGGAGCACUGCGACCAGGAAUAGGUCUUUCUCCUCUGUUUCACAGCUGGGAGGCCAGAAACAGCACAUGGUCAGCAGGAAGCAUAGAGCCCGAGCCGGGGACUGGUCCAGCAUGAAGAGCUCAGCUAAAGUGAUUUCCCACAAGCCAUCUGCUCAGGGGCCAAGGGACCCCGACGCUCUUCGACACACCCAGUGACCUGACAUUCUUCUACCGCUGCCCUUGAGUAACUCCCACGAUGGAGUCAUUCCUCAUCUAAACGUGAGUCUAACAACAUCCCAACAGUCAGCAUCCUAAUGACAACAGACCUUGCACAAUGGAAACAAGGCAGCAUUAGCGACUUGGUACAAAGGAAGGUCUGCACACCACAGCAAGCGGCUGCAUUGACUGAUGCUACCUGAAUAUGUUGCUAACUGACAUUAGGCCACUAUCAACGGUGGAGGAUGAAGGUUUUAGAUAAAUGAUUCACGUCCUCAACCCUGGUUACACUCUUCCCUAAAGGACCCGUUAUACCAACUGAUGGAGAGGAAGUACGAGCAAACAUUCCAAGCAGUGCAGACUGAUGUAAAAGCCACACAGAGCAAAUUGCUCUCACUACUGAUGUGUGGACAAGUGUAACCACGGAAGCCUACCUUGGCAAUACAUGCCACUACAUUGGAGACGAAUGAAAUAUAAAAUCAAUCUGCCUUACGACCAUGCCACUAGAGGAAACACAUUCAGCAUCCAACAUUGCAGAGUGGUUGGAAUAGGUAGUAGACAGGUUUGAAAUUCCCCUAAGCAAAAUUAUUGCUAUUGUGCAUGUCAAGGGUGCACUUAAAAAAAAAAAAAAAUCAUUUUUGUAACACUUGCCUUGUUUUAUUUGGCAAGUCUAAAGGACAUGGUGCCAUUAUGCUGUUUUUUAAAAUAAAGUAUUGGAAAGGAUAGAAA